AUUGAACGCUGGCGGCAGGCCUAACACAUGCAAGUCGAACGGUAACAGGAAGCAGCUUGCUGCUUUGCUGACGAGUGGCGGACGGGUGAGUAAUGUCUGGGAAACUGCCCGAUGGAGGGGGAUAACUACUGGAAACGGUAGCUAAUACCGCAUAACGUCGCAAGACCAAAGAGGGGGACCUUAGGGCCUCUUGCCAUCGGAUGUGCCCAGAUGGGAUUAGCUAGUAGGUGGGGUAACGGCUCACCUAGGCGACGAUCCCUAGCUGGUCUGAGAGGAUGACCAGCCACACUGGAACUGGGACACGGUCCAGACUCCUACGGGAGGCAGCAGUGGGGAAUAUUGCACAAUGGGCGCAAGCCUGAUGCAGCCAUGCCGCGUGUAUGAAGAAGGCCUUCGGGUUGUAAAGUACUUUCAGCGGGGAGGAAGGGAGUAAAGUUAAUACCUUUGCUCAUUGACGUUACCCGCAGAAGAAGCACCGGCUAACUCCGUG
rnacentral:rRNA from 1 species